rnacentral:misc_RNA from 1 species
GAUGAAGAACGCAGCGAAAUGCGAUAAGUAAUGUGAAUUGCAGAAUUCAGUGAAUCAUCGAAUCUUUGAACGCACAUUGCGCCCGCCAGUAUUCUGGCGGGCAUGCCUGUUCGAGCGUCAUUUCAACCAUCAAGCCCCAGGCUUGUGUUGGGGACCUGCGGCUGCCGCAGGCCCUGAAAACCAGUGGCGGGCUCGCUGUCACACCGGGCGUAGUAGAUUUUAUCUCGCUCAGGGCGUGCUGCGGGUUCCGGCCGUUAAAAAGCCUUUUUUACCCAAGGUUGACCUCGGAUAAGGUAGGAAGACCCGCUGAACUUAAGCAUAUCAAUAAGCGGAGGA